UGGUGCACUUUACACAAUUCCCUACCGUUACUAUUUCGGCAACAGGAAAACAAUUUCUCUAUGCUUAGAAACAAUGAAUAAGAAGAUCACUUUAUUCUAUCAAACAUAAACCAGACCACAGCUUGCAAUCAAGAAGGUUUGAUAAAUAAGACACUUAAAGUUUCUUGGAAAUUCAGGUACCAAUAGUUAAACAUCAAACCAAGACAAGCAGCUAAUCAUCCCAUUUCAAUAGAUAAAACUAACAGAGGCAGCUUUUUAGACCAUCUGAACCUUGUAAAUCAAAUGAGGAAAAAAAGGCUCCUCUUUAACUCGAACAAUUAGGAGUAAUCCUUAUUCAUCCAGGAGCUUGUCAAGCACAAGUCUUUUUUAUUUUGGUAUCGCUGCAGCAAAUUAACCAAACCACAAUCAAUCAAAGGGGGAGCAAAAAGAAUAAGGGUCACGUACAAGAAGAAUUCGCAGUAAAAGUUUAGCUAAUCAAAACCAGCCUUGAUCCAUUUUGGCACCAUUCCCCUAUCGAAAACUAAAAUUAUUUAUGCUGAAAUCAUUUCUCAGCACUACAAAUAAACACCAAAUAAAUAAAAAUACAACUGAACACAAUCAUUUCAUUAAUUACCUGUAGCUUUAUCCGAGGAAUCAUGAUAGAUAGGCUCCUCCUCAGGAACAGGGUGAAGCCCUUCAAGAUUCUUCAACUCCCCUGAUUUUUUCAAACCUUCUCCUACAUCAGAAGCUCCAUCUUUUUCAUCAGGGUACCUAACAACAACCACAGGACAAACACAAUGAUGGACACAAUAAUCACUAACACUCCCAAGUCUUCCUUUAGUACUUCGCCUCGCCGCCCCAAACCCCCGGCUUCCCAUGAUUACCGCACUCAAUCCCAAUCUCUCCACUUCCAAACAAAGUCUUUCUUUCAUAUCAUGGUCUUUAACAAUAUGGAUCUUGAACGGAAUAUUGGCUUCCACCAGCGGCUGCGCCAAGUCAUUAGCUUUAGUUGUGGUGAGAUUGUCGAAGUCAUCUUCCAUUUUUUGCUGGGAUUCCUCGUCGGUGACCGAUAAGUCGACGGAACCCCAGUCAGCGCCAUAGAGAACGGAGGUGGGACGGACGUGGAGGAGGAUCACGGCGUCGCCGGGACGUAGGUAAUUCUGAACAGCCCAUUUCACCGCGUAGGCGCUCUCGUCACUGAGAUCGACGGCGAUAGCUAUCUUCCGAUUGGCCCCGGAUGUCGGUGUCCCAGAUGGGAAGCGGGGUGAAGCUGGCUGGUGGAGAAUCGCGGCCGGUGGUCGGUCCGACUCCGCCGGCGGCUUUUGCGGUGAUGCCAUGCGGAAAGGAUAAAGACUAUAACUUUUUCCUAAUUCCUCUUUCCUUAACGGAUUUUAGGUGGGCUUUAAUGAAUAAUUUGUGGGUUUCGAUUAGUUUCUGUUGUCUUCUUGGUUUUGUGAGUAUUUGGAGUGUGUGAAGUGUGCGUGUUUUUCUCAAAAGGUUGUACAGGAAGAAGUACAGGGCUGUUGGAGGUGGUGGAAUCUGGUACUACAAAUGAACAUUCGCGAAGUUGGGGAUUUAUGUCGAGAAAAAAGUCAACAUUUUGACGUCAAACCAAUCGUAUUCGCCAGCUUUUGGUUUCGCUUGGUACAUAUUUCAUUUUCGUACAUUACUUGAUUCUCGUCCCCCAUCUCCAUCGACUACCUUAUCAAAGCAAGCUCAGAAUUGAGAUGAGUGUAUUGUACUGGUGUUUCCGUUUUGGAUUUGUCUAUAAGAUGCGAAAUGAACUCCGAUUAAGAAGAGCACUGUGAGUAUUAGUAGUUUUUUUUUUUUUUUUUGUUGCCUACCAUGAUAUCCAGGGUUUUGCCCUGACUAAUCCGUUGGUCGACCUGAAUCGCACACUUGAUUGUGGUGGGUGAGUCUCCCAACAAGGAUGGAUGCGUACGCCAGGUUUCGAACCUGAAACCUGCUUAAGCGGAACCAAAUUGCUUACCACUUGACCCAACCCCGAUUGGUAGUUAGUGGUUUGGAGAAGGUGAAAUUGAAGGUGUUGAAAGUGACAAGUCGUUUUGGAUCGUUUUUAUUUUUUAAGUGUUUGCUAUUUUGUUUUCUUUUGACAAAAAUGAAGGGUGGGAUUUAAAAAACAGGCAGGUGAAGAAGAAUUUAAAUCCUAAAUCUUUAAAUCUUUGAGUUUUAACCCUAAUCAUUAAUCAUUGGACUAAAGUCUCGUUGACUUAACAAAAUUUUUAAUAUCUUUGAAUUAAAAAAAAAAGAAGGAAAUGUAAGUGCAUAUGAUUAAAGGGUAAAUUAUUUGUUCUUAAUUAGUGCCGGAUAGACCGUCAAUGGAAAAAUAUUCAUUUUUUCGUUAUUUUUCGCUUAAAGCACAUAAUUUUUCCCCCGAUCAUGCUAUAGAAUUAAAAAUGAUUGGACCAUGUUGAGACUUGUGAAUUCAUUAUAGCGGUGACUAUCAACACUUAGGGAGUAGGGAUAAUCAUUAAUCUCCCCAUAUUAUAAUUAGGUAGAUAAGAUCACCUUUUAAUUGAGCAAAUCCACAAUAAAACAAAUGUUUGCUUAAAAAAACAAGCUACUCCAUAAUAAAAGAAGAGUAGGACAGCCGCAAAGUUUUUUUAGUGUUUUUAAAACAUAUACGAUUGCAUAGAUUAGAAAGCAGCAGAAUGUUAGUAGGAUUCAAGUACCAUCUUUGGAUUAUUCGUCUCAAGAAAGAAUUUUGUUUUCUUUAUUCAAACUAUAGUUAUCUAGUUAUUAUCAAAAAAAAAAAAAAAAAAAAAGCUGUAGUUAUCUAGUUCUCAUUUUCACAUGACCGUUUUCACAUGACCGUUAAGUUGUGGAUGAAUGUGAUGAGUUGAUUAUAGGGAUAAUUUCAGAAACCUCUCUUGAGAUUUCUUACUAUUUCAUUGGCUUUCUUGCAAGUUUUAAAAAUUUCAUUAAUUUCCCUUGAAAAUUAUUAUAUUGUAACAUUUAAAUUCAAUCAACAAUUAAAAAAUGAUAUAGGAGGAAGAAGAUAAUAUGAUUUUAUCAUUUCCCCUCAUCUACUAAAUAUUUUAAUUAAUUUAAUACGGAAGAAGAUAAUAUGAUUUUAUCAUUUCCCCUCAUCUACUAAAUAUUUUAAUUAAUUUAAUACCAAAGAGUGAGCUUUAAUAUAUAUAUAUAUAUAUAUAAUUAAAAUAUUACAAAGAGUGAGCUUUAAUACCAUAAAAAUUUCAGUAACUGACUUUAAUUUGUUGACAAUAAUAUUUAUGAUAUUAAAGUUUGUUCUCUGUAAUAUUUUGGUUGCAAAUUUUUUGACUAUUUAUUGUUGAUCAUGUUUGACGAUGGAUAUGUAACUGAAAAGAGUAAUUUGGAUUUUGUAUUAAGUGAAAAAUAUAAAAUUAUAUAUAUAUUGAUAUUAUAUGUUAUUUGAUUCCUAAUAAUAAACAAUAAAUUUUAGUGUUUUUCUUUAAUACGUGAGUUGGUAUUAAAUUAAUUAAAUAAUAUAGUAAAUGAGGGGUAAUAAUGAAAUCAUAUUAUUUUAUCUCUUCUAAUAUAACUUUAAAUUAUUGUUUGGAUCUAAACGUUACGAGAUAAUUAAUCUCAGAGGAGGUUAAUAUAAUUUCAAAAUCUGGAAAAGAGGUUAGUAAAAUAGUCAAAAACCUCAGGGAAGGUUUUUGAAAUUAUCCCUUGAUUAUAUUGCUACAUAGUUGGAUCUAUUGAUUCGCACAUUCUCAUUGGAACUCGGAUCCAGCUAAAAAUAUUCCCAAAAUAAUUGCUGGCAGAAUCUCUUGCCAACUUGGGUAACUACAAUUGGCAUUUGAUGAUGAAUGUGGAAUUUGAUAAAGCAUAUUCUCUACUUAUUUUCUUCCUUUUUCCCUAUAGUAGUAUAUUUAGUUCCUGUUUUUCCAUCAAAAAGUUUUUGGAGCCAUUCCCCAGUGGAAUUCAACUUUUGUUAAUGGGCUUGAGAAAACGACCCAUCAAUGUGAUUGCCAGUUGCCAUAACACACAAACAAUAGGAAGCCCACAUCUCUUCUCGCUGGCUGACAACCAGCGGCCAGUCCCCAAAUUCUACAAGUUGAGUUGGAUGCACAACAGCCCAUUAAAGUGUUUGGGUUUGAUACAACUCAACGCCUUUCCCCAUUCCUGAGACUGCAAACCAAAAUUCCCUCCAAGGCCAAGGGAACCGCCCGCCUCCACCACCUCCUCUCGUCUUUUCGCUCUAGAAGUAAUACUCUCCGGCUAAAGUCCGUUAUUGUUAACCCCCUCUUGCUGUCGAAGGCCAACUCCCUGUUUAAUGCUCCAAUAAUCAAAGCUUUUACUUUGAUAAACAAAAGGUCUUGCUAAAGUUAGUUGGCAAUUCCAGCAAACCCAGAAAACAGCUAAGAAAGUUGAGACUUUUUUUCGAUUCAAUUCAAGGUACGACAGCUUCUCACGCUCCAUGAGAAUUUGGGUAUUUUGUAGGUAUGCUUUUCAUUGAAUUUAAGUUGAUUUUUGGACAGAGUGUGUUGUGCAAUUUUGUUAUUUCAUCCGUGAGAAAAAUUGAACCUUUGGAAUUACGACUUCGAAUUCUGAUGCUGGAUUACAGUAGGACAAGGCAGCAGUUAAAUGUGGUUGUUGGGAUCCCCUUAAUUAGUUGUCAGGAAUUUCUACUCUUUUUUAUUUUGUUGGGGGGCAGGAAUUUCUACUUGUCAUUGGCAGUCAAUGAGUUUCCUAUAAUAUGGAGGGAGGAUAUGUUUGUUAACCUGUUUAGAGUUGUCAAAUCAAAUUUAUAUGAAACGGAAGUAUAUUGUCGAUUAUAAAAGUUGACAUGAAUUAGGAAGUGGCCCGGGAGAGAAUUAUCAUUGGUAAUUACGAGUAAUAAUAAUACUUCCUUAUGCAUAUGAAGAAUUGCUUGAGAGGUUGUAGAAUGAGCAUGGUGGCACUUUUUAAAAAAAAAAAAAAAUAGUUGAAGAUUGAUGUUUUGUGUGUGUGCUUGUUCGUGACUAUUGAAGUGGCAGUGUUUAAAAGUAAUACUAGUAUGAACUGAUGUAAUUCUCUGAUCUUGGUUUUAGGGAAAACAGUAUUGAGUAUUUCCAGGUUUUACUCGCUCAAUGCAGAUUGUUGAAGCCUUCAUUGUGUAGUAACUGCUUGUACUUUCCUUUUUGCAGAUAACUGGCCUUGUUGGCAAUAUAGCUGUGGUAAAUACAGACUCUUUAGGAUGUUGUCGAUGGAACUGGAGAACAAAGUAUCGUUCAAAAGAUGCAUUCGUGAAGGAGAUUUGGUUAUUGUAUAUGAGAGGCAUGACAACAUGAAGGCUGUGAAAGUUUGUGAAAAUGGAGUUCUCCAAAAUCGUUUUGGCGUUUUCAAACAUUCAGAUUGGAUAGGGAAACCAUUUGGGUCUAAAGUGUUCAGUAAUAAAGGUGGAUUCAUUUAUUUGUUAGCACCUACCGCAGAGCUGUGGACUUUAGUUCUAAGCCACAGAACUCAGAUUCUUUAUGUCGCUGAUAUUAGCUUUGUUAUUAUGUAUCUGGAGAUUAUUCCUGGUUGUUUGGUUCUUGAAUCCGGUACUGGAAGUGGAUCUUUAACUACCUCACUUGCAAGAGCUGUAGCACCCACUGGGCAUGUCUACACAUUUGAUUUUCAUGACCAAAGGGCUUCCUCAGCCAGGUUGGCAGUGAAACAGAUUACCUGAGGCUAUUUAAUAAUGUAGUUGCAGUUUAUAUUGCUUGAACGAGUAGAGUCACUCCAAGUUGGAGUAUUUUUUUUUAUAUUUGCCAGUGUAUCCAUUCAUUCAGAAACUAAAUUUAUAAUUUAUAUCACGGCAGGUACUUAGGAGUGCAUGACAUUGUUUUGUCUAGGCAUGACUAGAAUCCUAGUGGUUUGAUUUUCCUUUCGGCUAUUAUGUAAAAUGCUUAAUCUGUUUCAUAAUCUCUGCCGUAGGGAGGAUUUUGAAAAAACAGGAUUGAGCAGUUUAGUAACAGUGGGAGUCAGAGAUAUUCAGGGUGAAGGAUUUCCCGAUGAAUUUAUUGGGCAGGCAGAUUCAGUUUUUCUUGACCUACCUCAGCCAUGGCUUGCCAUUCCUUCUGCUGGGAAGAUGUUGAAAGAAGAUGGGGUCUUGUGUUCCUUCUCACCAUGCAUUGAACAAGUACAACGAUCAUGUGAAACACUAAAAUCAUGUUUUACUGGUAAAGUCCAUUGGUCAUUGUCUUAUAAAGUUGCAUUGUUUUCUACGUCUAAAUGGUGUUUAUUGAGCAGUUUGGUGCGACUUCAGUUAAAGAAUGCAUUAAGGGUGAACUUUAUGUUAAAUCUUCUGUAGAUAUAAGAACUUUCGAGAUACUUCUCCGGUCUUAUGAAGUUCGAGAAGAAAGGUUAGAAAGCUGGGAGAAUCAUGCAGGUGGUUCUCUUGGGUCUCGUAAAAGAAGGCAGCGUUCCACUGAUGGAAGCAAUGGAGUUGAAGCUUCCGUUUCUGCCACGAUCGUGGCCAGGCCUUCCAGUGAAGGGAGAGGACAUACUGGCUAUUUGACGUUCGCUAGACUCCGGUGUGUCAUCUAAACUGCCCUUUUGUCAGAAAUUUUGCCAUCUUGGUCAAGUUCGUUCGGUCCAUUCUUAUUUCUUGGAUGUUCGUCUGGUUGAUGGUAACAUCUGAUUCAGCAGCAGCUUUUAGACUGUAGGUUUUCCAUUCUGUAGCAAGCAAGGAUUUUUGCUAGCUACUUCUUGUCGGCACUUAACAAAGAUUUCAUGAAAUUUUGUUCGAAAAGUGCAGUAGGUUGCCCCAGAGUAAAUCUGUGGCCAAAAAUAUGUUUGUUACCUAGAUUGUUUGAAAUGUUGUUGCGUUUAGUAUAAUAGGAGCUUCUAUGAGAAGAAAUUACAAGUUUCAAACUCGGAGACAUAAAUGAAGUUGUGUAAUUACGUGGUAACAUAUAGUUUUCAUAAUGAGGUCUUAUUAGAUGAUUCCCAUACUGCAUUUAGAAUUGAAGCCUUCCAGUCCCAAGUUGACUGGUGGAAACUGGGGAUGACUAGUACAUAAACGAUGAGAGACAUUUUGUAUUGACUACCCCCCGUCAACCAUGUAUAUCACCUGUUUCUUGAAUUUGUAUAUGUAUUGAAUUGUAAUAGGCAUUUACCUGCCAUGUUUAUGUCAAAUUCUGUCAAAAUAGAAAGGGAAUCUACAAUGCAGCAGUUGUUUCUAAUUCUCUGUUUGCUUAUGCAUUGGCAUCUUCUGGCAGUAAGAAGCUGCAUAUCUCCAUAGAUAUCCUAAGUCGGUCCCGUGGAUGUAUGAUUCUAGUCUGGAAUUGAAUAUGAAAAUCCAAUUGAGUCCCAGGGGAGUUUCUUUUGCUUGGUAGAAGAAGCGUAGGGGGUUCUGCCCCCUUUUCUCACUUUGCAGUCUUCCUUUUGCAGUCAAAUUCGCACUAUUAUCAAACAUCAAAUUCGCACGAGGAAUGUAAAGCAGAGGCUAAUAAUUAAUAGUUAGCGAUUCCAUUUGAAGGGUCCAACUGCAAAGGGUUCAUAUUUUGUGUGCGGAGUACAGUACAGGUUGUAUUGGUGAAAAUGACGAAUAGGAACGUGGGCGGUGGUGGCUGCCGAGCCGACUGCAUGCUGCAGCAAAUGGCUGUUGUUUCGUCCACUGUUUUACCGAACUACUAGCAUUUUGAAAGUAAAAUAGUAAUAAUAAUAUUAAUUCUUAAAAAUAAGUUAUAUGAAAAAAAAAUCGUAAAAAGUACUGUACAAAAGAGUGUCAUGUUUGUGUAAUUAAAUUUCAAUCUGAAUAUCUUAUUUUGAACACUCAAAAUAGAUUGAAAAUAGGAAAGUUGUUGUGGUGGAUUUAUUAUUGAUUACGCUACUACUAUUCCAUUAAUUAAACCCAAUCAUUGUGAUCAUUUCAAUUUCCAACCCUUUCCACGUCACCCUCCCCAUUCCGCUCCAAAAACAAAAAAAAAAAAAUGAAAUGAAAAGAUAAAAUGUGAUACUUAUAAAAGUAAAAAAUAAAAAUGAUUAGUGAUAGCAUCAUAAGAUCAUACGCAACCGGUGAAAGUAUUUAAUAGUAUUCUUGAUGAGAUUAUUAUUCAAUCAAGUGGCCCAACAAUUCUUACAAGUCAUUAAAUUGGUCAAUGUCAGUUGCUUAAUCAACAACCAAUUUAAUGUCCCGUGCCACUCUGUUCCUUUAUGCUAUCCGCCUCUGUUCUUAAUUUAAUGUCCCAUCCAAAUUAAGGAAUAGAAAAUUUUGAGGAAUUAUUCCCUAUAACGCAAAAGGAAAAAUGUUAUUUCCCUGUAACAAAUUUUAUAACCUAUAACCUAUUCCCCAAAAAGAAAAAAAAAAAAGCUAUUUCAAAAAGAAAAAAGGGACAAAAAGCAAAAAGAAUCCAACUCGAAUUGACAACAAGAAGAACAAAUGAGUGAUUGAGCACAGGAGCACAUUCAACAUUUCUUUUUCUUUUUCUUUUUUUUGUUGGCUGUGAUGAUUACAUGGAAGGAUAACUUUAGACUUAAGCAAUGUUUGAUAACUCAAUUGAGCACUUAAAUUUAAUGGAAUCAGAUAUUAACAUAUUCAGAUCGUUUGAUAAUUAAAAAUUGAACAUGUAAAUUAAUUAAAUGACAUUAAAUUUUCAAAACAAAACUUACUGUUAAAAUUAAGUGAUAAGUGAAUUCACUGAAUGUGACAUGCACUCAAAUGUAUUAAAUUUAAUACUUAACAAUUUAAUAAUUUAAUUAAUUCAAAUUUCGAAUUUCAAUUUUAUCAAACUUACCCUAGUUCUAGUUCGGACUUCAAAGUAAGAACUGUCAACAUACUUGACUUUUUUCUUUCUAGAUUAGAUGGGAUACUCUGCUUUGAUUUUUCUUCUUUUGAAUUUCGCAACUCAUAAUUGUUCGUUUAGCCAUUGAAAUUCGUUCGGACAAUGCCUCGUCUUCUUAUAAAUCAUAAAUUAUUAUAAUAUUUCAAAUAUAUUUUGAUGAUUAGUGAAUUAUAGAUCUAUUUGUUAAACUAUCUAAAUAAUCAGAAUAUUUCAAAAUUUUCAUCAAAUUUCACGAUCCUAAAAUGUAUUUUUUUUUUAAAAAAAAUAAAAACCAGCAACAUGACCAGCCAAAAAAAAAAAGAAAGAAAAAGAAAAGUUUUUUUUUUUUUUUUUUGUAGCAAGAAAAAGAAAAGAUUAGGACGUUGCAAUUUGUAUGCCUUGUUGUUAGUUGUUGCGUACAUGAAAUGAGAAUUUGACCAUCCAAAGCGUAUGGUAGCUUUUGGACAGGGUUAGGUCAGAAUUAGAGUCAAAGAUACUUUUGAGUUUUGACCCCGUGGAGUUUAUCUUAUUAUCCCACUUUCAGUGGCGGCGAGCAAAAUGCUCUUAAAAUGCCCAUACUCGCUUUGCACACGUGGCACCAGCUGAGUGGCAGUUGUCCCAUGGGGCCCACAUCCCAUUCACGUUCCCCUGUCAUCUCUUAAUUGCUCGCGCCAACUAUAAUCCAACCCCCCAACACACAUUCGGCAGCCAACCCAGCCUGAAGGGCCAUUUUCGUUCCCCAGCCAGAAGAUCGAAGGAAAAUAAAAAAAUCCAUUUUCGGACGGACAAAUACUGCUGCUAUAAAUAUAUCUUGGGAAUUGGGAAGAUUGUAAUUUAUCCGAAGAGAGCUAGUUACUUGCAUUUUAUCACGAAAUAGCCUGAAGGGCCAAAAGGGUCUGCAGGAUUGAUGGCAGAGAUGGAGAAGAAAGUGGUGGUGGCUGAUCAGAGGAGGGAGAAGGAAGAGGAGGAAAAGGAGAGUUUGAUGGAAAAGGUGGCAGUUUUGGAUUUUGAUAUGCUGUGUGCGACGGUGGCUAUGCAGAGCCAAAAGGGGAAGUGGGAUAAAUUGAAUGCGGGUGAGAAUGGUGAUGAAGAAGAAGAUAUAGUGGUUUAUGGUAAUGGAGGAGGAGUUUUGAGGAUGUGGGAAGGUGAGCUCCUUUACGAUUGCUUUGAUGACCGCCGCAUCGCCCUUCAAUCUGCCUGGUGAACGUUUUCUUCCUCUGUUUUUUUCUUUUUCUUUUGUUGCGAGUGUUGUCUUAUUGCUUCGAACUUUCUCAUCUGGCAUGUGCAAAUUUCAGUUAUUGUAUUUUGGAAAAGAUUUGCUUGUUUGUUUAUAGGGAUGGAAACUUCUUCAUCUUGCUUGAAUCUUGUACAGCUUCUUUAAGGUUGCCCAUUUUCCCACUUUUUAGAAAAAACGCGGACAAAAAAAAAAUUGGUUUUUUUAAUCUAAUUUUAUGCCUAAUUUCUUUUUUCUGUUGCCAAUAAGGGAUUUCUGAAAGGUUUACGUUGUUAACAGCUGUUGAAGCUGUUUUUCUUAUUUCUUUAUUCUGCCUCAUGUUUUGCGGAAACUUAGUUUGACGGUCUUUGCUCUAUAGCGGAAUUCUGAAGUAAUUCUGAAGAGAGGGAGGGGAAGGGGGGAGGUAUGCUGGGAGGUUUUGUAUCUAUAAAUGUUUCAUACCCAAGGCAUAUAAUCAUGAGCAUAUGGAUUUAAAAUAUUCCAGUUUCUAGUAUCGAUUCACUAUUUGUAAGGAUUAAAAUUAAUGAGCUUAGUUAUAUUAUAUGUAACGUGAAUUCUUUGGUUUUGCAGUUGUCCAUGCUAUAGAUUUGGGAAGAACAUGAGACGAGCUGGUUUUGGUUCUUGUUUUCUUCAGGUAAUUGGCUUUUUUUUUUUUUUUUUUUUUGGAAUAAACUCUUGAAUUGAUUCACACCCCAUAGGCCAAAACAAAAAAGAAAAAGGAAGAAGAAGAAUCCUGUGGAUAUAUGAUACAAUUGUUUGACCUUAAUUUCCAAUCUAUUCACUAUAAAUCUAUAACCAAUAUAAGUCCAGUAGAACUUGGGUGUCAUUGACAUGGUAUUUAUUGUCUUAUCUUCUGUCUUGGUCAAAUAUGGUCCAUUUUAAUUGCCAAACUGAUGCUGACCGGUCAAUUACUGAUGAAAUGUGAGUUGCAGAAAUAGGUAAACUUAUCUAUAAUCUCCUUAGAAAAAUUGUAGUCACGACUGAGUUUGGAAUUAAACUCGUGUAUGUCUCUUGUAUGGUGAUGCCAAAAGGCAUGAGAUGAUACAAGCUUGUAUAUAUCCCAUGUUUGUUGCUUUAGGUGUACUUACCAACAGUUAAUUGCUUAUGAGUUUGUAAUUAUUUUGUUUUUUAACUUUACUUUCUGUUUUUGUGCGCUUAAGGUUAAAAUAAACUUUUGAGAUUUACCGAUAAUCUGUAGAUUCUUACAGUAUGUUUCACCGGUGAAAGUACUUGGGGAGAUUUCAAGUUAGGAUAAAGAAAGUAAUCUUAAGAGCAGGUGCCAAACCAUGCAAGAAAAUUUGAAAGAGUUGAAUGUGUCAAACUAUCUAAAUGGCAAUAUAUUAUUUGUAUUUCAUAAAAGAAUUUUUUAUAACAACUUGUGUUCUUUUUCUGCAGGGAUCUGUUUAUAUGAUUCUUGUUCUGCUUGCGCUUCUCAGUAUGCUCACAUUUCUGGGUACAAAGAGACGCUGCUUUCUUUAUUUGGCUGCUGCUUUUUCUAUUUCAGUGGGAAUAUAUUUGGGAAUUUACCGUACUCAGAUUAGGAAAAAAUUCAAUAUUAGGGUAAGUUUCUUGUUCUAUAUUGUUGAUUCAAAAGGUUUGAUUAUUAUUACCAUUUCUCUGGACUUACAAGUGAUAUGACCACAUUAGUCAAUCUUAUCCUUGUGCCUAACGUUCAUGUGGGCCACAGUGAGUCAUGGCUGACUAAAAGCAAAUUAUUUUAGUUGUUUAAAAUCAUUGGGGUUGUCAAUGUGGAGCCAAAUUUUUUCAAGGCAGGGUGAGAGAAAGUAAUCUUAAGAGUAGCUGCCAAACCAAAAAUUUAUGUGUAAAACAACAUAGACAAGAGUUGCAUGAGGCAAAGUUUCUCUUUUCACAUGUUCAAAAGAUUGUAAGAACCCAAGUGCAGUUUUAAAAGGAUUUUAUCUUCUUGUAUUUGAGGAUGAGGGGAGGUACGACUGGAUAGUUUUAGAUAGAACUUUAUCAGUUUGGGAAAGUUGGCCAUUAGAGAGGAACUUAUCCAGGACAAUUCUGGGGGAAUUUAGUGAAUGGCACGAAGGGAGGUAAAUGAUGUAUAUUUGAUUUUGCCACAUUUGUAUGGAGGGUUCAAAACUACACUACUUGUUAAAGACUUACUAAGAAGUUAUGCUAUAAUUUCCAUAAGGUGUUGUUUCUUACUAUUGUGCUUAAUCUUUUCACUCCUUUAUUUUCUGUGAAAACUUGGAAGCUGACCGGUAUUUAAUAUUAACUGUCUGAAUCACAAAGUCUGUUAUCUCAAACAAAUAUGUGAUGUUUCCCCAAAGAUCAUUCAAGACUAUGAAAUUGAAAAAGAACCAGCUUUCAGGGUAAUCCCAGUGUUGCCCUAGCUGAAGCUGCUUCUGAUGCACGAAUUCUGUCAUGCUAAUGUGGUGGAAUCCCAGAAAUCGCGGACUACCUUUUUACUUUACAGAGAAGUUGUUUGCUAGUGUUAGCCAGGGUCUACUAUAAUGUAAUGUAUAUCCUGCCAUUCAAAUGUUGUUUUCUAGGUACAUUUUUUUACCGGUAUUCUCUAGUGUGGUGAUCUUUGUUGAACCUUCUAGGUUCAUGCUAUCAACCAAAUAUUCCCCUGGAGAGCUUGAAAUCCUGCAAGUAGAAUGCGACUGGUGGGGUUAGAUUAAACAUGAAUAGACCACCUAAUUCAAGGCCUAUAUUAGUGUCUAGUAGGCAUUUUUUUCACCUCUAUUUGUGUUUGUCCUUGUUUGUGAAAACAUUGACAAACUAUUGUCACGUCUUGUCUCUAAACUUUAAUUGCCUCAAGUUUCUCUAUUAGUAUUUCUGGCAUACUUUAUCAAAUUGGUUUGCUAAAAAUUUGAGUGACAAGUUAAAAGAAACAUGAUGUUCGGGACUAGAAUAGGAUGAGUAAUGUGAUGGAUCUUACGAACAGGACUAGAAGAUCAAGUAAUAUGAAAUAAUUAGCGAUAAAGGAACUAAGGGAGUCUCCCUAGCUCUGCUCUUCCGGGGAGGGGGCAAAAAAAGGAAUUGAUGUUGUUUAUUAUAUAUGGCCUUAAGUAGAGCUACUAUGGGUGAACUUUAGGCUGUCUUUGUCCUUCUACUUGAUAAAUGAUAUAUAUUUCCAGUAAAAAAGGCAUCUCAGUGAAAGUUCUGCUAACCUUGGCCAUGUAUGUGUUUUCUUCAGGAUAGCGAGAGUUCUUUCGAUGAUUGUGUAUACCAUCUCAUUUGCCCAUGUUGCUCCUUGUGCCAGGUGUGUGCAUAUAAAUAUAUAUAUAUAUAUAUAUACACUUUCAUGAAUAAUAGAUGUGCUAGUUGGCUCAAAUUGGCUGUGUAUCAAUUCAAAUUAAACAUUUGGGUAUUAUUUUGAAGUUUACUGUAAUGUACACUUUGCUAUGACUUGGAGCAGGAAUCUCGAACACUAGAGAUGAAUAAUGUUCAAGAUGGCAUCUGGCAUGGUAGAGGUGAUACAAUAUGCAUAGGAAGCUACUCCGAAGGUGGUGGUAAGGCACUUUUUGAGCGAAAUCCACCUCCUGUUAUGUCAAGACAGUCUCCAGAGCCCCAGUGUAUUUCAAAAGCUACAGAUGAGAGCAGUCAUGUAUGGGCUGCUGAAGUUGGUCAAACUUCUCCCCUGGUUUGACCAGCUGCUGAACAAUUGUAACACUCAGAAUUAGCUAGCUAGCUCAGACAGAAAAUCGAAGCUUCAGAUUAAUGUCGCACAAAAGCGAGGUGGAAGCAUGAGAUUCAUUGCGCUGCUUGGUCUCGAGCGCAGCCUUCUUGUGGAAGAGUGGUGAAAGAUUUUCAGGUGAUUGAGUAGGUAGAUAAAGAUUACAUCCGAACUUUCUGAGAGUGGGGGAAUUCUUCAAGAAAAAGACCCUCAUCUCAUGUGUAUAUAUGGUUUCCACGAAAAUGUUGUAAAAAGAAAAAAUGUAUCUUUAAUUCAUUAUUGAAUAUCAUUAGAUUUCUGGUCGUUGGUCUCGAAAUUGAUCAGCUAAAUGAAGGGUUCUUUGAAUCUAUCCUAUGCAACUCUGUAACUCCUGUGCUGAAGACCAGCAUCGUCGUGUAAAUACUUUGCAUUUCUGGCUUUGUCGUUUUGUUAUGAUCUUGGUUUGCUUUGGACUAGUUUUUUUUUUUUUUUUUUUUUUCGGUUGGGGUAGGACUCAAUUGCUUAUUAUUUAUAGUUGGGAAAAAAAUACAAAUUUCAGUACCCACCCUCAUUUAGUAGAUGAUAUAUAGAGAAGUGCCACCCAAUUCGAUCUUUAGUUCUUCAAUUUUUAAUGAUCAACAAAAGAAUCCUCUUUUUUGUUGAUUUUUUCCGGUUGAAAGGCAAAAAGAAAAAAAAAAAGGGGUGAACUUUAUCUUUCACUUGACAAAUUUUGGCUUCAGAGUACUGGGGGUCCUGGUCUUCAAAGUACUAUAUAUGUUUCAUUGACGGACGAGGGAAUCCCCAAGAAUUCACUGAACAUUUAUGUAGUAACUUCUGCCACUGUUAUAUAAUGUUUUUAUGAAGGUCUACCUUCUCUCUCUCUCUCUCUCUUUUUUUUUCAAAAGAAAAGUCUAUUAGGGUUUCCGAGAACAUCUCCUGAAAAAGAAAAAAGUGUACAAAAAAGUUUUGCAGCUGGAAAAUUUUCGGAAGCAUCAAAGCAAAUGGGAUGAUGGUUCGUAACAAUUUACGUUACACGAAAAUGCUCGAGUCUGAGACAACCCGUAUAGUAGUUAAGAACGUUCUUUGCCCACUGACCAAUUGAUGGAUGAAUUUCCAGGAGACUAAGAAGUCUAGUACACAUAAAAGGAGUCUUGUGAAUUUCUUGUCCAGCUUGCCAUCAAUGGCUUGUCCUAUUGAUGUCCACUAUACAGAAUUUGGAGAGGGAAUCACCUAUGUCAUGCAUGUGAACUAUAACGUAUCGAUCAAGAUUUUCAGACAUCUCUCAAUCUCUCAAGAUUUUCAGACAUCUUUCAAUCUCUCGGUCUAUCGUCGAGAAUCCUAGAAAACCCUACACUGAACACUUCCAAAAUUUGCCAAUAAAAUUUUAGUACCUUUAUACUUUAAUGAUGAUUUACGACAAUGCAUGUCAUAUAUUAAGGCCAAUGUCACCGAUUUUUUUUCUACGCCAAUAACAUGUAGAUAUAUAUGGGAGUAACGGGGAGACAGUAUGGUACUAUCAAGCCUCCUGACUAAGGAAAUGGAUUGUGUGUAUUUGGUCCUUAGUUUUUCUUUGUAACGACUUUGGAGUAAAUAUUGACCCAGGGGAUCACCAUAACCCUUUUUCAUUUUUUGGUAAUUUUGCAAUGAUUGCUGAUUUUGUUUUCUUCACGAUUUAGUUUAUAUUUUAUUUGGAGAUUAGUGGAGAACUAAUAAUCAGUGAAAUAGAGCAUAUGAAGUUGAUAAGAAUUAGCUAAUUAUAGUUUCAAAUUAGUAAUGACCGUGACUUGUUUUUGAGAAAACUUGGUGAUCAUGAUUUUGGGUUUUCCUUUUUUUUUUUUUUAAGAAAAAGCUAAGUGGGGCCUAUAUGUAUGUAACUUUAUUUGCUUUGAUAAGAAAACAAAAAAUCAACGAGUCGUCAAGAACAUUUUAUCUUCUAAUUAAGAUUAGGAUCUAAAAUUGGUAGUCCUACCGUAGGACUCCUACGUUUAAAUUCUCCAACCCUUUUUCAGUUUUUUAAAUCCCAUCCUUUCUCCGUUAGGAGGGAAAAAAAAAAGAAUCAAUGCCUUCAAAAUAUAUGUAUACUAGUACUAGAGGCACAAGGCAAGCAUUCAAAAUUUCAAGAGGAGAAUACGUCAAACGACAGCCCCAUAAAACAAUUUCUAGGAGACUAUUUGUAGUAGUAGAUUUUAACUUAUUCCUCUAAGUAGUCUAGAGAAUUAGACUACUAUUUGUCCGACUCGACAGGAGAAUUAAAGUUCGAAAAAGCAUGCAUUGCAUUCGCAAAGGGAUACCAUUUUUCUCUGUAUACUUUGAACAUCAAUUCUCUUUCCCAUACUCUUUGCUUUAGCCAUCAACUAUCACACGAGCAUCUUUCUCAGCAAUUUCCAAGUGCGAUAUAAAGUGAUCAUUACCCUGAAGUUUCCAUCUUUUUUACCCGCGAUUAGGAAUACAACUAGAAAAUUUGACUAUUACUAUGAAAUUUCCAGAGCAUUAGCCCAUAUUAGGGGAUACAAAUGAAAAGCCUAUAUUUCAUGUCGCACUAGUAAGUUGUGACAAUCGUUAGGCGACACGUAAGACCCAAAAUCUUUUUGUUAAUCAUAUUUUGGUAAGCAAAUUAAUAUAAUUUACAGCGUUGGUCUAUGCACAUAAAUACCAUCAACUUUGGUGUCAAGUCCAAUAGGCAGUACUCUUUGUUUGGAAGCUAAAGUUGUGCUUGUGCAAGAGAGAGAUAUUUGGUGCGUACUGGGAUGGUAAGGUCUGGAAAACAAGAGAAGCUAGCAGUUAAGAAGGGUCCCUGGAGUUCUGAUGAAGAUAGGAAGUUGAUAGCUUACAUAAAAAAAUAUGGGAUUUGGAACUGGAAUCAGAUGCCUGAAUUUGCAGGUGAUUUUUUUUUUUUUUUUUGAUAAUUUGGUAAAUGCAUACUUGUAUUGUGUAUAGAUGAUAAAUGUCACACACAUGUAAUACUGAACAUAUAUCCUGAAUCCUGAUCAUUGUUGAUUCUUGUUUGCUUAUUUCUUGCUAGGUCUAUCAAGGUCUGGCAAGAGUUGCAGACUUCGCUGGGUGAACUACUUAAGGCCUGAUGUAAAGCUAGGAAACUUCACAGAGGAAGAAGACCAAACCAUAAUCAACAUGCAUGCAAAUCUGGGUAGCAGGUGAACAAUCAUACUGAGUUUUGAAUUUUCUGUUCUAACAUUUGUUUUCUUGCAUGCACUGCCAUCACAACUACAUCCCAUGAAUAAAUUCCCAGGGCAUAUAUAUGCAGACGCAAUCCAGUGCAUGCAGAACUAACCAAUAAAUCGGGUUAAUGGUAUUGGUAUUUGUACAUUUUACUAUGAUAUGGCAUGUACCCUGUACGAGUUGUCCAUAGCUUAGAUUUAGUGUUUUAAUUUCCUUUUCCCAGGGAAAUAAGGCUAGUCUAUACAUCAUAGAUGAUCAAUAUGAUUAAUCUAAGUUGCAAGGAUGUCGCAUGUCUACAUGAUCCUUAACUAUCAUUUGAACGCCUUUCAUUAUUUUAUUUUCAAUUUUCUUUCUUAUUUAUUUAUAUUUAUAUGUUGUAGAUGGUCCGCAAUUGCAAAACAACUUCCUGGAAGAACUGACAAUCAAAUAAAAAAUCACUGGCACACGCGACUGAAGAAACGUCUUCUAGUCAAAACUAGUGUUGCUAAUCCUGGUGCUAAAUCACAAGGCACUGAUGAUGGAAAAUCCAUCCAGGAGAAUUCUCCUGCAGGAAAUGCCAAAGAACCGGCGACAGAUACUUCUGAAGUCUCUAAACUUGAAGGCCUACUCCACGUUGAAAAUUCAAUAAAUAUUCCUCCAAUUCUGUCUCCCUCUUGUGGCCACUGGGAUUUUCGUGGGAGCACGCAGGAAAAUACUUCCUCCACGGAAAUUAUUGAAGAUUCUGAUCAGAUAUUUUGGACGCAGCCAUUCUUGAUGGGAAAUUUGAGCAUGGACAGCCAGCCAUCAGCAUAUAUACAGUCUCAGUUUGAUCCUCUAAUAUGGUCUCAAGAACCUCUAAGUCCAUCUUCUAGCUUCCUUGAUUCUGGCUACUGUGAUAGUAUUCUGUUUAAUUAUUCAGAAAAAGAUGAUGAUGUUUCCUUCUUGGAACGGCCAGAAUUUCAAUUUUAAUCCGCUUAGAAUUACUUCUUUCCAUGACCUGGAUGAAGAGGCCUGAAUAACUGGCUAGGGCCCUACUUCUGUUGUAUAAUGUACUCUUGACAUACUUCUGAAUAUCUCUGCAUGGUUAAUGUAAAUAAUUGUUCAAAGAAUACAAAUUGGUUCCAGACCAACAACACUCUUAAUGCCUCGCUUAAAUGUAACCUCGUCCCCACCUGAAAAUAACCCAGUCAUACAUGUUCCAGCAUUAAUUUUGGAGAAAUACUGACGAAGAACUUCUCUUUUUUAAAACCAGUAAACCCCUAUAAUCUAUCGGACGAGAAGACAACCUUAAAACUAUAUGGUAUAAUCGUUAGACAAAUUUCAGCUAUGGAAUAUAUAUUUGUCGAAUGUGCUAUCUAACUGUCAAAUUAACAUCAAUAUGAUCAUUACAACUAUUAUAAAAAGUCUACAUCUUAUGUAGGUAAGUAAUCGUUGAAAAAAGUCAUUAGUUUCUGUUGAGAUUUUCAAGGGUGAAUGACCCCAAUAUUUAUCCAAUUCUUUUGCUAAAUAAUUUCUGGUCCUUUAACUUCAAUUUGGGACAAUACAGUUCGUUUAACUUUUAUUACGAGUUAAUUUGGUGCCUCUACUUUAAGGAGGAGCAAAGUCGUCAUUUAUAGCAGACAUCUGGGACAUAGUAGUAUAGUACAUCAGAAGCCAAUGUGCCCUUCGUCUUUUAUUCUACAGUAUUAUUCUUCUCAUGUCCCACAUCCAUCUGCAUGAUGCCAUGAUGGGAGAAUUUUGCUGUAUUUUGCUUUAGUAAAGUAAAGCCAGGGACUUUUUGAAUCUCUUAGCUUCAGAUUGGAGGAAAGAAUGCACGUAACUUCCAGUACUCU
rnacentral:lncRNA from 1 species